rnacentral:tRNA from 1 species
UCCCUGGUGGGCUCAGAUGGUAGAGAAUCUGCCUGCAAUGGGGGAGACCCAGGUUUGACCCCUGGCUGGGGAA